UCCCUUUCAUUGGUUAUUUUGGCUGCACAUAGCCUUCUACUAAGAUUCAGGUAACUAUCGUUUUUCAGUAAUAUGAAGGUAUCCUUGCAUUUUCAAGGGAACUGUGAUGUUCCUGAACUGUAACUGGGAUGCUUGGGACAAGCAUAAUGAGGACAAGUAUCAGACACUGAAAACCAACCAAUCAACAACCAACAAAAAUUACUAAGGAAAUGAUGAGCUUGAAUGACUAAUGGAAACAACCAAGAGGAGCUAAAUAUAAAUUAUCUGACUCUAUAGUUUGAAUUGCCAGGUCUAAAAGCAGAAAACUGAUACGAAGUCCAGAAAUAAGGAAAUCAUGCAGAAAGUCACCUGGCUAAGUUCUAUACCAAAUGAAACUGGAAUGAAACAUAACAUAUGGAUGAAAAAAGAAAGUUUCAUUUGUUGCCAAAUAUCUUAUCUACAGAACAUCUGGAUUUUUAGAGCAUCUGCACAACUGACAGUCUCUCGACUUUUCAUCUCAAUGUUUGUGGUAAAUGGUGAGAUUGUUCUUCCUUCGUUUUGCCUUGGGUGCUGGGGAGAGAGUUCACCCAGGUACCCUUGGCCACAGUGGACCAACUUUUGCAAAAUGCUGUCAGUGACCUGUUAUUUCCUCGGCCCCAGUCAUCUUCCAACUGCAUCCCUAUUUGUUUGCCCAAGCAUUGUUCCUUGGUCUGCAUUCCAACCAGCACAAAGGGAAGAAGGAAAAUAAUUAGACCUAUGCUGCACUUUUAAGUAGUCAUGGACCAGAAAAGUAUGGAGGUAUCAAGAGAACCUAGAGAGACUGGAGAGGUGUCACCAGUGGAAAGAAAACAAGAACAUGUAAAGGGGGUUCCAGAAAGCUGACCUCAUUUAGCAAGCUGCUCCAGAAAAAUAAUAAAAGAGCCAAUGCAACAUCUUGUGGAACACCAGGACUGAGCACUCUUGUUGGGGGCAUUGCAUGGAGGCAUUCUGGCCUCAGAUGCACAGUGAUUUGUAUGGUGGCAUAAUCAUUGGCUUCUGGCCAGGCAUUAUGUUUCAGAGGACACUAUUGUCAAGAACCAUUCAACUAGAAAUCUGCACUGUAUGCACUCAGAAGUUGAGAUCAUCUGCCUUCCUAUGUCAGGAAGAAUUCUGUGCUGGCAAUUGACUCAUGCACUCUCUUCACACACGCUAGCACUUGGCUCUGAUGGAAUUAGCUGUGUAACCAAACCAGUGGCAUCAACAAGACAGGGCUGCAACCUCCUGGGACUUCUGUUUAAAUUGCUAAUUUUUGAAGACCUUAAAAUGCAGAGUAUUAU